UACAGAGGGUGCAAGCGUUGUUCGGAAUUAUUGGGCGUAAAGCGCGCGUAGGCGGCUUUGCAAGUCGGGUGUGAAAGCCCUGAGCUCAACUGAGGAAGUGCGCCCGAAACUGCAGAGCUUGAGUACCGGAGAGGAUGGCGGAAUUCCCCAAGUAGAGGUGAAAUUCGUAGAUAUGGGGAGGAACACCGGUGGCGAAGGCGGCCAUCUGGACGGAUACUGACGCUGAGACGCGAAAGCGUGGGUAGCAAACAGG
rnacentral:rRNA from 1 species